CUGUACCAAGAUAUAAUUGAAAAAAGAAAAAGAUAGAGAAACAAAAAAACACAUCAUGACGCCACUGACUCGGUCCACAACUCUCGGUCUCCUGUCCGUAAUCCCCUUCUCGAGAAACUUCGCCUCCUCGCCACCUUGCUCCUACCUCCCUCCCUGCUUCCGCGUGAAGCAGCGCAGCUAGCGUGAGCGAGUGCGUGAUGCCGGCGGGUGAUGGAAUACUAUGUGCGGACUUGAUCUGGGCCUCCUACUCCUCUUCUUCAGGUCGGCUCUGGCGGCGGCCAUGAUCUCCACGGUCGAGGCAAGCCAGAUCCAGUGAAGACCCACGCCGCUGCUGGAUUUGGAUUGAUGUCCGUGUGGGAACUCGAUUUGGGGUUUCAAACGCGUGGGAGAGGAGGGAUAAAAGCAAAGCAGAAGAAAGCAGAGGAUGGAGCUGAAGACCCACACCGCCGCCGGGGGAGGUCGAGUUCAUCUCUUAUCAGUCUCUUCCCCAUGUCUAGCACCUGUCGACCCACGUCCUCGGAUUCUUGUUGUACACCCGCAUCCAUCCCCGAAGCCUGAGCUACUCCAUCCCCUGCAUCUCGUUGUGGCCGCCCCCAUCUUCGGUGCCAUCAUCCCGAUUCUCUGUCCCAUGUUCGGUAAGCUGAAGGCACGAAAAAUGGCCUUGAAUUCACAAUCGCGAGACCUUUCAAUUGGAUUGGCCCAAGAAUGGACUUAAUUCGUGGUGUCAAUGAAAGCAGAGGCAAACAUUCUUAUUCCCAUGAGUUCCACAUUGCGCACAUACUGAAGAUAUCUUGACAAGAGAUUAAGAUUUGUCUUCAUUGCAAGCGUCCCCCUCCGCGUCGUGCUCACACCACCACCCCCAUUGAGCCAGUGCUCGACCAACCGCUUCCUCAGCUGCAAAACCCAUCAUCGUGGUCCAUGUACGUGGACAGGGUUUUGGGUAGAAGGCAUGGUGGGCAGGAGGCCGCUGGCAUGAAACCAGGCCGUGCAAGUCUCCACCGGCAAGAAGCACAAACCACCCCCGACCUCAUCCCUUCCUAAAUCUGCAUACCUCGGCAGAGGCAGAAACCCAAGGUGUUGCAGCCGCCACGGUGCCAGAGCCCCACAGCGCCACACCCAACACCCUCACUUCGAGGCUGAUAUCGGUGCAUCCUUGUCUUUGGUGGCUGGACACAUCGAAGAUGGAAUAUCUUUCCAAGAAGCAUGAUUAGUAUACAUAAGCUUGUAUAUUGUCUUAUAAAUAAUUUCUCGAUAAACUUACCAUGAUCUUUCCUGUAGUUUGUUUGUUGUCCAUCAUUGUUUAUGGUGUCUGGACACAUCGAGGCGAGAAUAUCUGUCAAAAAACCUGUCCAAGAAGCAUGGCUGUUUGUGGUCCAUCUUUGAUUUUGGUGGCGGGACACAUCGAAGCGGGAAUAUCUGUAAAAGAACCAUGAUAAAGAAGACGGCGCUGGUCAUAGUGAGAUAUUUUGCAUUAAAGUAAUAGAGAAAAGAAAAAACAAUAUUUAUUUAAUUUUACCUAGAGGCAAUUCUUUUUUUAUGUUUCCAAGUUCCUCUAUGCCAUCUCCAGCAUAUACAUCUUGACGAGCAUCAAUCCUGUCAUCUUCAUGAUCUAUAAUAUUGCCAACUAUUAGCCGGGCUUGCCCUGUGAUGGUAGAUUCAGAUAAAGAAGACGGCGCUGGUCUGCCUGGCAGGGGGACGUGAUGGCGAGGUUGGCUCGCUAGCCGGCGCUGGCCCCAGCUUGCGUCGCAAGGGGCAGACUUGGUAGGCCGGGGACGUGGUGGCGAGGCUGGUUCGCUAGCCGGCGCUGGCCUGUCUGGCAAGGGACGUGGCGGCAAGAUCGGACCGCUCACCGGCGCUGGCUUGUCUGGCAGGGGACGUGGCGGCGAAACCGGCCCGCUAGUUGAUUUGGAGAAAAUUGUUCUGUUCUUUUUUGCUUUGAUCUCUCUCAGGCAAUCCUAUUUGGAUUUGGACAAUUUCAUAUUCCUAUACGGAAUAGUGGUGGCUGUUUAUAUAAAAUAUAUGCAAUCCUAUUUGGAAUGGUA